ACUUAAAUUGAAGAGUUUGAUCAUGGCUCAGAUUGAACGCUGGCGGCAGGCCUAACACAUGCAAGUCGAGCGGUAGCACAGAGAGCUUGCUCUCGGGUGACGAGCGGCGGACGGGUGAGUAAUGUCUGGGAAACUGCCUGAUGGAGGGGGAUAACUACUGGAAACGGUAGCUAAUACCGCAUAACGUCGCAAGACCAAAGUGGGGGACCUUCGGGCCUCAUGCCAUCAGAUGUGCCCAGAUGGGAUUAGCUAGUAGGUGGGGUAACGGCUCACCUAGGCGACGAUCCCUAGCUGGUCUGAGAGGAUGACCAGCCACACUGGAACUGAGACACGGUCCAGACUCCUACGGGAGGCAGCAGUGGGGAAUAUUGCACAAUGGGCGCAAGCCUGAUGCAGC
rnacentral:rRNA from 1 species